UGGGGAAUAUUGCACAAUGGGCGCAAGCCUGAUGCAGCAAUGCCGCGUGAGUGAAGAAGGCCCUUGGGUCGUAAAGCUCUUUCGAAUGGGAGGUAGGGAGUUGUAGCUAAUAUCUACAGCUUUUGACAGUACCUAAAGAAGAAGCACCGGCUAAUUUCGUGCCAGCAGCCGCGGUAAUACGAGAGGUGCAAGCGUUGUUCGGAAUUAUUGGGCGUAAAGCGCGCGUAGGCGGGCUUGUAAGUCGAUUGUGAAAUCCCCGGGCUCAACCUGGGAAUUGCAGUCGAAACUACAAGUCUUGAAUACCUGAGAGGGUGGGGGAAUUCCUGGUGGAGAAGUGAAAUUCGUAGAGAUCAGGAGGAACAUCGGAGGCGAAGGCGCCUGCCUGGCAGAGUAUUGACGC
rnacentral:rRNA from 1 species